rnacentral:rRNA from 1 species
GACGAACGCUGGCGGCGUGCUUAACACAUGCAAGUCGAGCGGAAAGGCGCUGCGUUUGCUUGGUUCUCGUUUGGCGAGCGGGGGAGUAACACGCGAGUAACAUGUCCUUGACUGUGUGAUAUCUUUAGGGGACAGGGGAGAUUACCGGAGAGAAUCUCCUGCUGCAUGGGGUUCGUUGGAGAGAGUCGGCGGUUCGGUAUCGACUCGAGGCUUAUGAGCUGCUUGGUCAGGUAGUUACGUACAAGGGGUAUGACGGCUAGCCGGCCUGAGAGGGUGGACGGGCACAAUGGGCCUGCGAUACGGCGCAGAAUCCUACGGGAGGCAGCAGUGGAGAGUAUUGCAGAACGGGCGGAAGCCUGAUGCAGCAGCGCCGCGUGCGGGAUGACGGCCUUCGGGUUGUAAACAGAUUUCGACGGUGCCGAAGAGUGAGUGACGGUAAUGGGUCAAGAAGCAACGGCUAACUACGUG